GAGGUUAUAGCUCAGUGGUAGACCACAUGCUUAGAAUGCAUGAGGUCCUGGGUUCAAUCCCCAGUACCUCCU
rfam:Camelus ferus unplaced genomic scaffold scaffold365, whole genome shotgun sequence.